GACGAACGCUGGCGGCGUGCUUAACACAUGCAAGUCGAACGGAAAGGCCCUGCUUUUGUGGGGUGCUCGAGUGGCGAACGGGUGAGUAACACGUGAGUAACCUGCCCUUGACUUUGGGAUAACUUCAGGAAACUGGGGCUAAUACCGGAUAGGAGCUCCUGCUGCAUGGUGGGGGUUGGAAAGUUUCGGCGGUUGGGGAUGGACUCGCGGCUUAUCAGCUUGUUGGUGGGGUAGUGGCUUACCAAGGCUUUGACGGGUAGCCGGCCUGAGAGGGUGACCGGCCACAUUGGGACUGAGAUACGGCCCAGACUCCUACGGGAGGCAGCAGUGGGGAAUAUUGCACAAUGGGCGGAAGCCUGAUGCAGCAACGCCGCGUGCGGGAUGACGGCCUUCGGGUUGUAAACCGCUUUCGCCUGUGACGAAGCGUGAGUGACGGUAAUGGGUAAAGAAGCACCGGCUAACUACGUGCCAGCAGCCGCGGUGAUACGUAGGGUGCGAGCGUUGUCCGGAUUUAUUGGGCGUAAAGGGCUCGUAGGUGGUUGAUCGCGUCGGAAGUGUAAUCUUGGGGCUUAACCCUGAGCGUGCUUUCGAUACGGGUUGACUUGAGGAAGGUAGGGGAGAAUGGAAUUCCUGGUGGAGCGGUGGAAUGCGCAGAUAUCAGGAGGAACACCAGUGGCGAAGGCGGUUCUCUGGGCCUUUCCUGACGCUGAGGAGCGAAAGCGUGGGGAGCGAACAGGCUUAGAUACCCUGGUAGUCCACGCUGUAAACGGUGGGUACUAGGUGUGGGGUCCAUUCCACGGGUUCCGUGCCGUAGCUAACGCUUUAAGUACCCCGCCUGGGGAGUACGGCCGCAAGGCUAAAACUCAAAGGAAUUGACGGGGCCCCGCACAAGCGGCGGAGCAUGCGGAUUAAUUCGAUGCAACGCGUAGAACCUUACCUGGGUUUGACAUGGAUCGGGAGUGCUCAGAGAUGGGUGUGCCUCUUUUGGGGUCGGUUCACAGGUGGUGCAUGCCUGUCGUCAGCUCGUGUCGUGAGAUGUUGGGUUAAGUCCCGCAACGAGCGCAACCCUUGUUCACUGUUGCCAGCACGUUAUGGUGGGGACUCAGUGGAGACCGCCGGGGUCAACUCGGAGGAGGGUGGGGAUGACGUCAAGUCAUCAUGCCCCUUAUGUCCAGGGCUUCACGCAUGCUACAAUGGCUGGUACAGAGAGUGGCGAGCCUGUGAGGGUGAGCGAAUCUCGGAAAGCCGGUCUCAGUUCGGAUUGGGGUCUGCAACUCGACCUCAUGAAGUCGGAGUCGCUAGUAAUCGCAGAUCAGCAACGCUGCGGUGAAUACGUUCCCGGGGCU
rnacentral:rRNA from 1 species